CUCUUUCUUUUUUUAAAAUAAAAUUAAAAAAAAAUCAAUUGAGCUUGGUAAAGAAAACUAAGAUCAACUAAAAAUAGACAGUCUGGCAAAGUAGGAUUUAUCACAUAGAUUGUAUCCCUUUUAGCUAAAAAACACAUCAAGGCUCUCCCGAGGGAGGGAAAGUGAGGUGGCAAGUUUGUGUCUAUCUUUCUUGAUUACUGAUUGAAGCCCCUGUUCAUCAUCUUGAUGCCUCUUGCUUGCUGUUGGUCCCACAGAAAUAAGUGUGUACCCUGCUUGAGUCGGGUCUGGGAAAAUGGCCCACCUUGGUUUGCUUUUUAAAUGAAAACAGUAGCACUGCUCAUCAUUUUCUUUGGAUUGCUGCUCGCCAUGGAUCUGCCUGCUUUCCACCUUUUGUAGUUCUCGUGGACGCUGUUGAUCAUCUAAAUUCAGGGAAAAUUAUUCAUUUGUUGCAGCUUUUACACCUCCCUGUUUACAGUUAACGCAGCAAGUUUGGGCUCACUGUGGACUGUUUAAGUUUUAAAAAAACAAUAAAUAAAAAAGGCCCUGAACUUGGUCGUCCCACAGGGCAUUAUUUUCAGGGGAAGAACAGUACCAAUCGGUAUUUCAACUGUUAGCAUUUAAAUCGCAAUGAAAAGAGUAAGCUUUCCACAGCUACAAAGCUCAGUCACGGUAUGUAAUUUCCCAGACUACCAUUCUGGUUCGGAUUCGCUGACAGAUAGAAGACAAGAAAGGACCGGGCAGUUUGGCCACUAUCUCCGCCGAUCCCAAUCAAGAAAAAAGAAGUGGAAAAACCCUUGGUCAGAAGCUGCCCAAAGAAAAUAAAGACAAGGAACAUGUUGAAAGAAAGAUCUGAUCUCAUGAAGAAUCGGAUGCUGACCAAACGUCCUAAGCAGAUUGGGGUCUGAAAGGAUUGGAAAAGGCCCAAAACACGAAGGCAAGAUACUGUGAAAGAGAACUUUUCCCAUCGUCAAUUCACCUAUGGAGUGCCUGGAACCCUAGGCAAGUGCAAGACACUGUAUACAGAUGAGGUCCCAGGAUGAAAGUUUGAAAGCAAAAACUUUCCUUUGAAAAGAUAACGAUAACAAAAGAUGGGCUGAGGUGGCUGGGUCCAGUAAAGUAAUGUAGAAG
rnacentral:lncRNA from 1 species